rnacentral:lncRNA from 1 species
CACCUGAGAUCACCCCUAGUUUUUUGGUGGGGUUCGUGUUGUUUAUUAUUUAGUUUUCUAUGUUGUGUCGUGUGUGCUGUUGUUUGUUUGUCUUUUUCAUUUUUAGCCAUGGCGUUGUCAGUUUGUUUUAGAUUUAUGAGUUUGACUGUCCCUUUGGUUUCUUUCGUCCCUCUUUUAAGAGUAACAUUGACCUUAUAUUGUUCAGGUUUAGAGUAACAGUGACCUUAUAUUGUUCAGGUUUAGAGUAACAUUGGCCUUAAUUGUUCAGGUUUGUAACAUUGGCCUAUAUUGUUCAGGUUUAGAGUACAUUGACCUUUAUAUUUCGGGUUAGAGUAACAUUGGCCUUAAUGUUCAGGUUUAGAGUAACAUUGACCUUAUAUUGUUCAGGUUUAGAGUAACAUUGACCUUAUAUUGUUCAGGUUUAGAGUAACAUUGACCUUAUAUAUUUCAGGGUUAGAGUAACAUUGGCCUUAUAUUGUUCAGGUUUAGAGUAACAUUGACCUUAUAUUGUUCAGGUUAGAUAACAUUGACCUUAUAUAUUUCAGGGUUAGAGUAACAUUGGCCUUAUAUUGUUCAGGUUUAGAGUAGCAUUUUUAUAAUA